CCUACGGGGGGCUGCAGUGGGGAAUUUUGGACAAUGGGCGCAAGCCUGAUCCAGCAAUGCCGCGUGAGUGAAGAAGGCCUUCGGGUUGUAAAGCUCUUUUGUCAGGGAAGAAACGGUGAGAGCUAAUAUCUCUUGCUAAUGACGGUACCUGAAGAAUAAGCACCGGCUAACUACGUGCCAGCAGCCGCGGUAAUACGUAGGGUGCAAGCGUUAAUCGGAAUUACUGGGCGUAAAGCGUGCGCAGGCGGUUUUGUAAGUCUGAUGUGAAAUCCCCGGGCUCAACCUGGGAAUUGCGUUGGAGACUGCAAGGCUAGAAUCUGGCAGAGGGGGGUAGAAUUCCACGUGUAGCAGUGAAAUGCGUAGAUAUGUGGAGGAACACCGAUGGCGAAGGCAGCCCCCUGGGUCAAGAUUGACGCUCAUGCACGAAAGCGUGGGGAGCAAACAGGAUUAGAUACCCGAGUAGUC
rnacentral:rRNA from 1 species